AGAAUCAUGAGCUUCUCUUCCACAUGCGUGUGGCCAUUGUGGUGAUGACCGAUGAAUCAUCGCAUUUCAACUGGAAUGAACAAAAAUAGAAAGCUCAGCAGCAGCAUUUUUUAGAGAGGUAAAAAUCUGCAUAAAUAAAGAAAAUUAAGUGUUUCCAUGAAUUUUACCUACUAGAAAGUGGAAAAAUGUAUUUGAUAAUAGAGCAUAUAUAUAAGUUUUAUAGUACUGCUAACAUAAACAUGAGUGGAUAAUUUUGGGGCUCAGCAAGUUUAGCUGCAAAAUGGCUUUGCUAUUCUCCAUUCCUCUUUGUUUUAAUGAUCAUUCCUCCAUAUUCAGAAGAUUCUGUUUCUUGAUUUUUAGGACUGUUCCUAAAUAUUCCGGUAGCUGUCUUUGGAAGACUGAAAAAAUAUUUUCUCUUGUCCUUAUAGAAAAUGCUGGAUAGGGCAGAACCUUCUCUCUUCCUGAAAGAGGCCACUGAUCUAAAUUGGUUUCUCUCUUAGCCUUACUUCUUGGAGGCAUACUUAUUAUGUAUUUACUUACUUUGGCAUGCUAUUUUAAAAAUUCCUUGGUUUUUAUUUUAAACAAUUCCUUCAUAUAUUUCACUUAAAUAAAUGAGCUGAUACUAUGAGCUUCAACAUAUUGGUUUCAAAACUCAUCUCUUUGUCUUUUUUCCUUUGUUUUACCUCAUAUACAGUUAAUUGACAGUUCUGUUCAUUUUUCCUUUGAGAUAUCUUGCCAUGCUUGGUUUACCAUUCCAGCACAGAGUACACAACUCAUAGCUGGAUUGCUAUGACAUUUGUCUCCUCUUUGGUUAUCUUGCAUUCUUUUACCAAAUAAAGCUUUCACAAAUGUAUUAUCUCCCUACCAUUUUGUGACCUGGGAUGUGAAAUCUAAUCUCUGACUGGAUUUCUAGACUCCUCUCUUGUCUUUUUCAACCUUAUCAUCCACAACUUGCCAUUGUAAAGACCAAGUUCCAGUGUUCCAUUAGAUCAAUACCACCAUUUCUGUAAACAAACAGAUGCAAACAUUAAGAACCACAGUCUGGCUAAUUCUGGAACAGUACCUAAAAUAUUAAACCAUGACCAUCUUUUGCCUGUUGGUGUUAGAAGGGAGCUUUUGGUGUUACGAGAGAGUCACCAAAGAGGACAGGUUAUGGAAGCUAGCUCUGCAGAGCUCUUGAUAGCAGGAGUUCACAGAGAUUAUAAACUAGGAAAUUCAAGGUGCUUCAGAAAGGUUCUUCUUGAAGGAAGAGAAAGAACUGUGUUCAAUGAGAGAAAGCAGCAGAAAAGCACACUAAGUUCGUUCUUUAUAGGCAAGUUUAAAACUGGGAUUUACUCAAUGGCCGAUGGCCAUUACAGAUGCUAAGAUAUUCUCAGGGACCAUGAGAAGAUCAUCAUGCUGAAGUGAGAAUGGAGCCUGCCCUUGUUCUAGCAAACUUGGGUGUGCAGGGCCUGAGAAUGUUCUGUUGACUUCUGCUGCUCUGUUUUGCUCAUGUUAUUCCUUUGCAAUGGGUGCCUUUCUCCUAUCCAUUUUCUCAAAGAUCAUAUGUGCUAUAAUGGUGGAAACACGGACUUAGGAGAUAACCUGACUCAAAACUCACUGGAGUUUUGUCUUCUUGCGGAUGAGCUGGACCCUAGCCAAUGUACUUCACCAUUCCAAAUCUUCAGUUUCCUCCUUUGAUAAUGCAGGUAUUAACAUACAUGCUGCUGUGUAAGCAUUGGAAAGUCUGGCCCUUGGUGUUUGGGUUUAGAAAAGUGCUUUUGUCAGCAUCCAUAGUCACAGGUAACUGACAAAAAGAGCAUGUGAUAUCCUGUGUAUCUGUGUCGACAUCAUAUGAGAUUGAGGAAGGUUGAAAGAAUACUAAUUUCCCUUGACAGAAUUCUUUUAAUUUUAUUCAUUUCUCUGCAUCCUUCACUCUUUAGUUUAUCUGAUGGUAGAGGGUUAGCAGUUGUAGACAGUGUCAUCACCUGCCCUGGAUGAUACUAGAGCUCCUUUUGUAGACAGACUAUAUAUUCUGACACCAGAGAAAUGCUGUACCUGAAGGCCCCAUAUCUUCUGGAAGGACACUGAAGGGAGAGCAAGUUACUGAAAUCCAUUUCUCAUAACCCAAGAACGUCCUGUCUACAUUUGUAUGCCUUGUGCUUGGUACAUAUUUGUUGUUUAGAUUAACUUAAAUUUUAUGCUUUCAUUACAGCUAUUCUCUGUGGAAAAUAUUAACCAAAUUUAUUAGAUCUUUAUG
rnacentral:lncRNA from 1 species